rnacentral:rRNA from 1 species
AUGAACGCCGGCGGCGUGCCUAAUACAUGCAAGUCGAACGGAGAAUGUAGCAAUACGUUCUUAGUGGCGAACGGGUGAGUAACGCGUUGGUGACCUGCCCCAAAGUGUGGGAUACCAGUUCGAAAGGACUGCUAAUACCUCAUGUGGUCACUGGGAUUAGAUGCCCGGUGAUUAAAGGAGAAAUUCGCUUUGGGAGGGACCUGCGUCCCAUCAGCUAGUUGGUAGGGUAAUGGCCUACCAAGGCUUUGACGGGUAGGGGACCUGAGAGGGUGGCCCCCCACAAUGGAACUGAAACACGGUCCAUACACCUACGGGUGGCAGCAGUAGGGAAUAUUGCAUAAUGGGCGAAAGCCUGAUGCAGCAACGCCGCGUGCAUGAUGAAGGCCUUCGGGUUGUAAAAUGCUUUUAGCAGGGAUGAGGAAGGACAGUACCUGUUGAAUAAGCCUCGGCUAACUACGUGCCAGCAGCCGCGGUAAAACGUAGGAGGCGAGCGUUAUCCGGAUUUACUGGGCGUAAAGCGCGUGCAGGUGGUUCGGUAAGUUGGAUGUGAAAGCUUCUGGCUUAACUGGGAGAGGUCGUUCAAUACUGCCGGACUUGAGUGUGGGAGAGGGAGGUGGAAUUCCGGGUGUAGUGGUGAAAUGCGUAGAUAUCCGGAGGAACACCAGUGGCGAAAGCGGCCUCCUGGCCCAUUACUGUCACUCAGACGCGAAAGCUAGGGGAGCGAACGGGAUUAGAGACCCCGGUAGUCCUAGCUGUAAACGAUGUGGACUUGGCGUCGGUGGGUUAAAAGCCAUCGGUGCCGAAGCUAACGCGAUAAGUCCACCGCCUG